CAUAACAGCCGAUGGUAGCUCGUAUUUAUCGACCGUGGCAUAAGAAUAAAUGCCGAAUAUUGUCACGAAAAUAUUCUGGAGGGAAUAUUAAAAUCUUGGACACGCAAAUAUUUUGGCCACAGACCUUGGACAUUCCAACAGGACUCAGCACCAUCGCACUCAGCACGCGCCACCCAAGAAUGGUUACAAAAUUAGGUUCCUCGCUUCAUUUCCAGAGCACAAUGGCCACCAAAAUCUCCGGAUACAAAUUCCAAGGUUGGCACUAAAAAAUACCAAAGUGUCGAUCACCUCAAACAAGCGCUUCGUAGGGAAUGGGCCAAAAUACCGCUGAGCAACAUUCGGGCAGCGUGUGACGGUUUCAUU